AAUCUCUGCUCUGGUAAUUCCAACUACUGUACAGUUCACGCCCCUCACAGAACAGUGAAUGUGUGGGUCACUGGCGAGACAAUGUAGCAACGUUUUCCUUGUAAUGUACCAAGUCUUGCCAAAGCAGCAGACAGCAUUAUGACACACCAUUUUGUCACAACUGGCUCUCAGUCAGGACAGUGCCAGCCAAUUCAGGCCUGAUUCUUUCUGUGUUUAUUCCCACCUCUCCCAAAUAUUUGAAAACUGGUGUCUUGACUUAUUAGCAUAUUCAUAAGCUCGAUGACCAUAAGCCUUUUUCCUUUAACCAACCAAUCUUUUGCAAGACAUAGACAAAACACCAGUGUGAAUUACAGCAAAUCUCUGUUUUAUGCUGUUAUGGGUGAAACUCUGGGAGAUUCUCCUGUUGACCCAGAGCAUGGUGCCUUCGCUGAUGCACUGCCUAUGAGCACUUCACAAGAAAUUACCAUGGUUGACACAGAGAUGCCAUUCUGGCCCACCAACUUCGGAAUCAGCUCUGUGGACCUCUCCGUGAUGGAAGACCACUCGCAUUCCUUUGACAUCAAGCCCUUUACCACAGUUGAUUUCUCCAGCAUUUCUGCUCCACACUAUGAAGACAUUCCAUUCACAAGAGCUGACCCAAUGGUUGCUGAUUACAAAUAUGACCUGAAGCUCCAAGAAUACCAAAGUGCGAUCAAAGUAGAACCUGCAUCUCCACCUUAUUAUUCUGAAAAGACCCAGCUCUACAACAGGCCUCAUGAAGAACCUUCUAACUCCCUCAUGGCCAUUGAGUGCCGAGUCUGUGGGGAUAAAGCAUCAGGCUUCCACUAUGGAGUUCAUGCUUGUGAAGGAUGCAAGGGUUUUUUCCGAAGAACCAUCCGAUUGAAGCUUAUUUAUGAUAGGUGUGAUCUUAACUGCCGGAUCCACAAAAAAAGUAGAAAUAAAUGUCAGUACUGUCGGUUUCAGAAGUGCCUUGCUGUGGGGAUGUCUCACAAUGGAGAUCAGAACCAGGGCUUUGUGCAUACUAAGUGUGCACUUUACCACUGUGCUACACCCAGCUCCCAUCUUUAUUUUCUUUUGCUUUCAUCUCUCGAAAAACUGAUCUGCCAUCAGGUUUGGGCGGAUGCCACAGGCCGAGAAGGAGAAGCUGUUGGCGGAGAUCUCCAGUGAUAUCGACCAGCUGAACCCAGAGUCUGCUGAUCUGCGAGCCCUGGCAAAGCAUUUGUAUGACUCAUACAUAAAGUCCUUCCCGCUGACCAAAGCCAAGGCGAGGGCGAUCUUGACAGGAAAGACAACGGACAAAUCACCAUUUGUCAUCUACGACAUGAAUUCCUUAAUGAUGGGAGAAGAUAAAAUCAAGUUCAAACAUAUCACCCCCCUGCAGGAGCAGAGCAAAGAGGUGGCCAUCCGAAUUUUUCAAGGGUGCCAGUUUCGAUCCGUAGAAGCCGUGCAAGAGAUCACAGAGUAUGCCAAAAAUAUCCCUGGUUUCAUUAACCUUGAUUUGAAUGACCAAGUGACUCUGCUCAAGUAUGGUGUCCAUGAGAUCAUCUACACGAUGCUGGCCUCCCUGAUGAAUAAAGAUGGAGUCCUCAUCUCAGAGGGCCAAGGAUUCAUGACCAGGGAGUUCCUCAAAAGCCUGCGGAAGCCCUUUGGUGACUUUAUGGAGCCUAAGUUUGAGUUUGCUGUGAAGUUCAAUGCACUGGAAUUAGAUGACAGUGACUUGGCUAUAUUUAUAGCUGUCAUUAUUCUCAGUGGAGACCGCCCAGGCUUGCUGAACGUGAAGCCCAUCGAGGACAUCCAAGACAACCUGCUGCAGGCCCUGGAACUGCAGCUCAAGCUGAAUCACCCAGAGUCCUCUCAGCUGUUCGCCAAGGUGCUCCAGAAGAUGACAGACCUCAGGCAGAUCGUCACAGAGCACGUGCAGCUACUGCAUGUGAUCAAGAAGACAGAGACAGACAUGAGCCUUCACCCCCUGCUCCAGGAGAUCUACAAGGACUUGUAUUAGCAGGAAAGUCCCACCCGCUGACAACGUGUUCCUUCUAUUGAUUGCACUAUUAUUUUGAGGGAAAAAAAUCUGACACCUAAGAAAUUUACUGUGAAAAAGCAUUUAAAAACAAAAAGUUUUAGAACAUGAUCUAUUUUAUGCAUAUUGUUUAUAAAGAUACAUUUACAAUUUACUUUUAAUAUUAAAAAUUACCACAUUAUAAAAUUGUU